CCUACGGGAGGCAGCAGUGGGGAAUAUUGCACAAUGGGGGAAACCCUGAUGCAGCGACGCAGCGUGCAUGAUGAAGGCCUUCGGUGUGUAAAGCUCUAUUAGCAGGGAAGAAAAUCACGGUACGUGACUAAUUAUCCACGGCCAAUUACGUGCCAGCAGCCGUGGUCAUACGUAGGGGGCGAGCGUUAUCCGGAUUUACUGGGUGGAAAGGGGGCGUAGACGGUUUUGUAUGGCAGUAGUGAAAGCCCGUGGCUUAACCGCAGAAUGGCUUUGGAAACUGUAAGUCUGGAGUACAGGAGAGGUAGGCGGAAUUCCUAGUGUAGCGGUGAAAUGCGUAGAUAUUAGGAAGAACACCGAUGGCGAAGGCAGCUUACUGGACUGUGACUGACGUUGAGGCUCGAAAGCGUGGGGAGCAAACAGGAUUAGAUACCCUUGUAGUC
rnacentral:rRNA from 1 species